UACGGGGGGAGCAAGCGUUGUUCGGAUUUACUGGGCGUAAAGGGCGCGUAGGCGGUCAGCACAAGUCAGUUGUGAAAUCUCCGAGCUUAACUCGGAAAGGUCAACUGAUACUGUGCGACUAGAGUGCGGAAGGGGCAACUGGAAUUCUUGGUGUAGCGGUGAAAUGCGUAGAUAUCAAGAGGAACACCUGCGGCGAAGGCGGGUUGCUGGGCCGACACUGACGCUGAAGUGCGAAGGCCAGGGGAGCGAACGGG
rnacentral:rRNA from 1 species